ensembl:misc_RNA Y_RNA Y RNA
AGCUGGUACAAUAUAGUGGAUUUAUCAACAUUAGUGUCACGAAAGUUGGUAUACCACCUCCCACUGCUAAAUUUGACUGGCUUAUU